CGUAGAUUGUUUCUAAAGCACCUAAAGAGAACCAUCCGCAGGCUCGACAUACAUUCGUCACAAUUGACACGAUUGACCCGCAGAGGUUCUCAACGUGUACCGUCCAACGAACCGGUUUGACCGGGUCCAACAAGUACAUUCCAAAGAUCAGUACGCACGAGUGUUCUCCAACGCCGCGGAACGUCUCGUGAUCAUGAUUCGAGGGCUUCCUCCUGAUGAUUUAUAAUAUACAACAGUAGAGGAAGACGGAUAUCGUAACUGUCGAGAUACAUAGAUGGUCGACGAAAAGCGUGCAGUAUCGCGUUGCUGUUCUGAAGCAGAAGUUACAACUGUUGCAUCACGUUGCACAUCUGGUCCGUGAACCGCUUCUGCUACGGUGAAGAGGACGAGGGAACAUUAGCAUAUGCAGCCACGUAGGUAGGCAGGAACUCGCCUUGCGUUUGCCUGUUGAAAGAAACAUUUAGACUUCGUCGUCAUUAAAAUUGUAAAUGUUAAUAACAAUGCAUUCGAUAUUAUUACAAAUAUUUAUCAAAUUCUAAAAACGUUUAAACAUCCGUCCGAUACAUAAAUGUAAAAUGUAUCACCUACGAUCUUAUAUUAUGAACUCAAAAUGAAAUAUUUUUUGGAUUUUCUUUAAACUUUACGAUUUAUUUACUUACGUUAUCAAUACAUUUUCGACUUUUGAAUAACGACAUAACCAUAAAAAGAGAUAAUAUAAAUAAAAGGGAUGACGUAUUAUUCGCAUGAAACUCGACGAGAACGGAAGCAGGAUGCGGGCUAACGGAAUUGAUUCUUCUGUGAUUUCAUUAGUUCUGAUGCAUUUAAAUUCAUGAUUCAAGUGAGUGAUUAGCGAGCAUUAAAAUUUACGAUGACUUAAAGCUCGUAUGUACAUAAGUAUGUACAUACGUAUGGAUGUUUGUUGUAUGUAUGUAUGUAUGUAUGUAUGUAUGCCUAUCUCUGUAAGUAACGUUAGUCAUCGUCGUUCUGUAGUACUGCGAUCAUCAGUAAGUAGUAUAUGGUAUGUUAAAAAGAAAAAGAAAAAUAAAGAGACUUAUGGAACAGGAGAAAGCAAAACCACGGAGCCAGUGUUCGUUUUUGCUGGACGUGAAUUCAAGGAGACUAAAGAGAAAAAAAAGAGAAAAGACAGAGGUCAAGAGAGAGAGAGAGAGAGAGAGAGAGAGAGAGAGAGAGAGAGAGAGAGAGAGAGAGAGAGAGAGAGAAAAAGAGAAAGAGAGAGAAGGAAUUUAGGACGUUCCAAAUGGAACUUUUAAAAGGAUUUUCCUUGAAGGAUCUUUGAGCGAGGUUGUACAUGAGAUCUGUAAAGUAUUUUAUCUACAAAGCAAUUACAAAACCUUUAAUAGUA